CUAUCCUUGAAGGAAGAUGAUACUCCUUAAGGCACGAGUAUAAAUUGCAUGUCCACUCUCGGCCAACAAGAUUAUAAAUUGUGUAUGACUUAAAAAAAGGGCCUGUUAGGUUGUAAACCUCGGAAGAGGCGAUCUGGGCAAAAAGUGACACUAAAAAAAAUUCAAAUAAAAAAAACACACACCCAAAAAUAUGUUGUGACUUUAUCCUCUUCAUUGAGGUACGUAGGCGCUAGGAAUCUCAUUCUGAGUUUGGUUACACGUGUCAAAAAAUAAAAUGUUCCCGCCAUAUGAAUGCGCUAAAUCUACAAAUAUUCUAUUUAAAUUUUGAACUUCAAAUAUUUGUUGCUCAAUGGGGGCAACUUGUUGAAAAGAAAAUGAGCUCCUGCAAUGGAAUUUAGAAUGCUAAAGUUCUCCGAGCCUACACCUAAGAGUGCAAAUCUACCAAGCCUGUAGUUUGAAGUCAACUCCUAAAUUUUCAUGCCUUAAGGUGGACAAGAUUUGUCUCUUUGCACCUUAAGAUGGCCUUUCACAGGUUUAUUUUUAAAAGUAUUUCAAAAUUUUCAUGCCUUGAGGCGGACAAAAUUUGUCCCUUUACACCUUAAGCUGACCUCUCACGAGUUUAUCCUUAAAAGGAUCUCAAAAUUUUCAUGCCUUAAGGCGAAUAAUAAGAUUUGUCCCUUUGCACCUUAAGGUGACAUUUGAACGAAUUUGUUAUGUAAAGGGACCAUACUUGAAGUCGAACUUGUCAGGUCUCAAGGUGACGGAGACGAAGUUAAACUCUCGCACCUUAAGCUGAUCAUUGAAAAGGACCCAUACUUAAAGAAGACCAUUGCACAUGGUUGUGAGAGUCGACAUUAAUUUGAAACAGAAAGGGCUACGCAAACCAUGUAAAUCUAUAUUGGGAAAAAUGCAUUUUGGGAUAAGAAAAUGGCAAGAAAAUAGGGCGGCCAUUUACAAUUUUACUUUACGAAGUAAGUGGGCCAAUAUAGUAGCCGUUUGGCCAUGAAAAUUAUUUACUUUUUUUGGGAAAAUUAUUUCACUUUAAUGAAAAAAGUAAAAACGAAAUGUGUUUGACCAUGAAAAUUCCAAAUACAAUUCGGAAAUUGUAUUUGGAAAAGUGAAAACAUGCUUCUCUCUAAAAAUAAAAAAUAAUUUUAAUUUAUAUUCAUGGUCAAACACAACUCCAACUCUUAACUCCGAAAAAUUAUGAUUUUCAUGGUCAAACGGGGCCAUAAUGAUGAUAUUUAUGUUAUAGUCUUUUUGGUACGUGUUUUUAUGCAUAAUUCGCAUUCUAACAAUACUAGUGCAUACUUCAAGCCCCCUCUUUGAAGAAAUUAAAUAUCUCCAUAAGACUUGAAGGGGCGUUUGUGGGCAACAAAAUUUUAUUAAAUUGAGGUCAUGGGUUCAAGCCUUGGAAACANN
rnacentral:lncRNA from 1 species